rnacentral:rRNA from 1 species
ACGUAGGAGGCAAGCGUUAUCCGGAGUUACUGGGCGUAAAGGGCGUGCAGGCGGUUGGCUAAGUUCGUUGUGAAAGCGCCCAGGCUUAACCGGGCGAGGACAAUGAAGACUGGUCAGCUAGAGGACGGGAGAGGUGAGUGGAACUCCGAGUGUAGAGGUGAAAUUCGUAGAUAUUCGGAAGAACACCAGUGGCGAAGGCGGCUCACUGGCCCGGUUCUGACGCUGAGGUGCGAAAGCGUGGGGAGCAAACAG